AAAGCCUCUGGCUAUUGUUGUGGGAGCUAACGGCGAUCGGAGCUGUUGGAGAUGAAGUGCGGCUCUUACUGUAAUAUAAUCUGGAUCAUGUUUCAGGUCUGUCAGCAGAAAAGGCUUUCAGAUAAACUCUUAAAAUUCUGUUGUUCUCAACAUCCAAGAAUAGUUGUGCACCUGAUAUUUGCAUGGGAAUCAUGAUAACAUCGAGGAAACUACAUUCAAUUGAGUUGUCUCUUCAAAUAUAUCAGAUCAUCGAUACCUUUGAUGGUGUGCGUAAAAGAUACAGCAACAGCUGCAAAUGAUACAUUAGACAUGACAUGUCCAAGGGCAUGACAGAUUGCAACUGGAGUCAAUAGUAGCAGGAGG